rnacentral:lncRNA from 1 species
AAGUGUUUUUCUACUGAUGGCAAUAGGAACUGGACUGGGCGUCGUAUCACCGGAUCACAGAAAAUGUCUUCCACAGGAAGCCCUCCUGAACAAAAAACCUUUUCUUUGGGAGGCUCUAUUUGCUGUUUGUUGCUCCAUUUGCAGUUACAUCUCUUCUCUCCAACAAACAACAAAUUCAAGAGGGUCCCGAAAUCACAGCCCCAGUUCCCUGUGGGAGAACAGGGUGUUAACAGGAUUGUGGAAGAAGCAGAGACCAGAAGAAGAAGCAGGAACAAUGGCAGAAGAUGGCCCAUGAGCAUCUCCAGACUGUAAACAAUGCCUGGCGCCCUGACUGAUGGAGGGGAAUCCCACCCGCCUGGCGGUUGGGGGUUGCAGGGGUGUGUGGAUUGGGAAAGAAGAUACACCGGUACUAUAUAAGCUGCCUGGUGGUUGUAAUAAACGAUUCUGGUUGCAUCA